GACGAACGCUGGCGGCGUGCCUAAUACAUGCAAGUUGAGCGCUGAAGGUUGGUACUUGUACCGACUGGAUGAGCAGCGAACGGGUGAGUAACGCGUGGGGAAUCUGCCUUUGAGCGGGGGACAACAUUUGGAAACGAAUGCUAAUACCGCAUAAAAACUUUAAACACAAGUUUUAAGUUUGAAAGAUGCAAUUGCAUCACUCAAAGAUGAUCCCGCGUUGUAUUAGCUAGUUGGUGAGGUAAAGGCUCACCAAGGCGAUGAUACAUAGCCGACCUGAGAGGGUGAUCGGCCACAUUGGGACUGAGACACGGCCCAAACUCCUACGGGAGGCAGCAGUAGGGAAUCUUCGGCAAUGGACGAAAGUCUGACCGAGCAACGCCGCGUGAGUGAAGAAGGUUGUCGGGUCGUAAAACUCUGUUGGUAGGGAAGAACGUUGGUGAGAGUGGAAAGCUCAUCAAGUGACGGUAACUACCCAGAAAGGGACGGCUAACUACGUG
rnacentral:rRNA from 1 species